rnacentral:rRNA from 1 species
UACGGAGGGUGCAAGCGUUAAUCGGAAUUACUGGGCGUAAAGCGUGCGUAGGCGGUUCGUUAAGUCUGUUGUGAAAGCCCCGGGCUCAACCUGGGAAUGGCAAUGGAUACUGGCGAGCUAGAGUGUGUCAGAGGAUGGUGGAAUUCCCGGUGUAGCGGUGAAAUGCGUGGAGAUCGGGAGGAACAUCAGUGGGCGAAGGCGG